rnacentral:tRNA from 1 species
GGCGGAUGUAGCCAAGUGGUCAAGGCAGU